AGCGAACGCUGGCGGCAGGCCUAACACAUGCAAGUCGAACGAACCUUUCGGGGUUAGUGGCGGACGGGUGAGUAACACGUGGGAACGUGCCUUUAGGUUCGGAAUAACUCAGGGAAACUUGUGCUAAUACCGAAUGUGCCCUUCGGGGGAAAGAUUUAUCGCCUUUAGAGCGGCCCGCGUCUGAUUAGCUAGUUGGUUGAGGUAAUGGCUCACCAAGGCGACGAUCAGUAGCUGGUCUGAGAGGAUGAUCAGCCACAUUGGGACUGAGACACGGCCCAAACUCCUACGGGAAGCAGCAGUGGGGAAUCUUGCGCAAUGGGCGAAAGCCUGACGCAGCCAUGCCGCGUGAAUGAUGAAGGUAUUAGGAUUGUAAAAUUCUUUCACCGGGGACGAUAAUGACGGUACCCGGAGAAGAAGCCCCGGCUAACUUCGUG
rnacentral:rRNA from 1 species